CAAAAAGAGGGUUUUAUCCUACCUAGUUGGGUGACGCUAGAGGAAGGUCCGCAAGGGACCCGCCAGCUCCUCCAGCCCCGCCCCCUUACCUGGGCUCCUCUUACCCCCGAGCAAGGCCUCAGGUGGAAACACUUUUUUCUUUCUUAUCACAAGAAUUCUACAAGGUAACUACUGUCUUGGGGAGGGGAAGCCGCGUUGUCUCCGAAAGCACAGACGGAAGCAACAAAUGGGAAAAAAACACAGGCCAGGCUUGUGAAAUCCCAAACCGGACUGCAUUUCAACCACUCCUCGUAAGGUGGGCAACCCCCACCCGGUCACAUUUAAAUGUGUUUGUGUGCCAGACCAGCCUGCUGUUACACUCUUUCAGCUCUGCAACCCGCACCGCAGACACAAUGAAUUAGGAGAUUAAAGUUACCGAAAACCCACUCAUUCUGCAGCUCUAUUGACCAACGUGUAAAGGGGCUUUGUGUGUGUGUGUGUGUACGACACAGAGACACACACAAGCCUCAUAGUUGUUCUUCUGUAAUUUGUCUUCAAAUAUGCUUUUUUUUUUUAAUGACGCUGAUGAAAGGUCAAUUAUGAGACUCAAAAAUAAGCCACCUUCUCUAGUAAGCUCCCACUCCCAGAGUUGGGGUUCUCCUGGGGCAGAGAAAAGGGAAC
ensembl:lncRNA